AAGGUGUUCUCCUUGGUGAUCUCUCUGGAGUUUUUGGUGAGCCUUGGUCCUCAGAAGGAGCUCAGCAGACAGGUGAUUGAGAACCACCACACUGGGCUAUGGCUGCUCAGCCUCUACUGCCCGUACCUGUUUCAUAACUGAGCCUGAGUUUCUCCAUCACGCCUUUAAAGUUCCUCUGAAUGAAUUCCAUCUAGUAAGGCCUCUCUCUUAAGAUGAAUUGAAUACCAAAUUAGCAAUGAGCUGAAAUUCAGUAAUGGGCAACUGUGCUGUUCCAAGACAUGGAAAACAACUGAGAUAAGCCUUUGGAUCUCAGGUCUUGCAUCAAGUUAAUGUGGUCAUCAGCCAGGAAACAUCAAGUGAACCAGUACCACAAGGAGAUUGCCACAUCAGAUUAUGGGAGUUUGCUUCACUUCCAGGCAGCUCUAUUUAAUAUACAUCUGCUAUGUAAUACAUGCAAAAAACUAAAAUGAUUUUCAGUUGCGUUAGUCUUUAUUGGAUCUGACCUCUGGUCCAGGAGGUGAAGGGAGAGUGGAAAAUGAAAGCUGAUUUGGUAUUAGCCUACUAUUCGUAUUAGAAAAAGUAAAUGCUUCUGCGGUUUUCCUUACAGAGGUGUCUUUAUUCAUUUGACAUGCCUUUAAUAACUAAUUCUAGUUGUCUGGUUGCCAAGAUGGAUUUCCUACAUGCAGACUUAAAAGUGAUUUUGUCCUCUUUGAAUGUAUGGCUUCAAAUGAUCCCAGAACAGCAAACAUUAAACUUCCCCCUAGACCUUGAGCUUUUCUGAAGCGCUAUAAUAAUAUGAAAGGAUAAGAAUAUUAGAAAAAAUAAAUAAAUGAAUUAAGCACACAUCAUAUGAUAUAAGCAGGACAAUGAAACUCCUUGUUUUUCUCUGCUAGUUGAUAUCUCCUUUCUAACGUUGGACAUAUGCUGUGGAUUUCUCACUGUAGCCAUCUUAUGGAUUUUCAUAUUGUCAUUCAGAUACUCCUGUGGAUGAGAAUGUUUUGUAUGUUUCAUCUGAAAGCGAGAAGUCAGCAGACCUCCAAACUUCUUCACAAAUGUCUUUGUCCACAUGUUUUUCUCACACUAUCACAGUUUUAAU